GACGAACGCUGGCGGCGUGCUUAACACAUGCAAGUCGAACGGAAAGGCCCUGCUUUUGUGGGGUGCUCGAGUGGCGAACGGGUGAGUAACACGUGAGUAACCUGCCCUUGACUUUGGGAUAACUUCAGGAAACUGGGGCUAAUACCGGAUAGGAGCUCCUGCUGCAUGGUGGGGGUUGGAAAGUUUCGGCGGCUGGGGAUGGACUCGCGGCUUAUCAGCUUGUUGGUGGGGUAGUGGCUUACCAAGGCUUUGACGGGUAGCCGGCCUGAGAGGGUGACCGGCCACAUUGGGACUGAGAUACGACCCAGACUGCUACGGGAGGCAGCAGUGGGAAAUAUUGCACAAUGGGCGGAAGCCGGAUGCAGCAACGCCGCGUGCGGGAUGACGGCCUUCGGGGUGUAAACCGCUUUCGCCUGUGACGAAGCGUGAGUGACGGUAAUGGGUAAAGAAGCACCGGCUAACUACGUG
rnacentral:rRNA from 1 species